rnacentral:lncRNA from 1 species
AAAACACUAUAUAUUUACAAAAAAGCAAGUAUAUCUUUAUAAAUAUUCUAUUUCACAGUUUUUUGUUAUAUGGUACGUGUCUCAUUAAGUUUAACUAUCAUAAUUCAUUUAGUUGUUUUAAUAGCUUUAUUUUGUUUUAGUUUAAAUAGAAAUUUGAUUAAUUUGGUCAAGAUCAAAUCUAGCGUUAAGCUCAAUAUACUGCUUUAAACGAUUACUCUGAUGUAGAAUGUGUUAAAAAAUCUCAUUUGUAUAAAAAUAUAUAGAAGUAUAUAAAGCCAACACAUUAACAAUGAUUUGUCACCAAGCAUAUUGAGGAGCAACCCAAUUUCUUCAGAAGCAAAAAUGUAACUGAGAGUUUUUAAGUUAACUGGGAGUUUCAAAUAGUAAUUGUCAUGAUUGCACCAUUUAAUCAGCCAACUACACCAGAAAAAAUCUUUUUCAAUAAAGUUCACCUACAGAUAGAUAGUGAUGUGAGGUAAUCCUUUGAUCAUCUCAAAAACCAUUGGAUGUCACGAGACGUGAAGCACUUCAGUGCUCCUAAACAUAUGCUUACCCAAACUAUAUAUUGCAAAAUAUAUUUUAAGUGUAAGUUGCUGGAAAACUUUUACAAGGGAUUUUUAUCCUUAGGAUUAGAAAUUCCAGAUGACAUAAACUUUGAGGACAACAACGAAGACGAUGUACACUAUGUUCAGGUUGAAUUAACACAAGUCAACCAAUUCGACUUGGCAUUGUACAAAGAACACUAGUUAAAACUAUGUUAUUAAAUUGAAGGGGAUAUGGGGAUAUAUAUGAUUUACGUGAUAUUUAUGAAUGAAAAAAAUGAAAGUUUUUUU